rnacentral:rRNA from 1 species
UACGGGGGGGGCAAGCGUUGUUCGGAAUUACUGGGCGUAAAGGGCUCGUAGGUGGCCAACUAAGUCAGACGUGAAAUCCCUCAGCUUAACUGGGGAACUGCGUCUGAUACUGGGUGGCUUGAGUGCAGGAGAGGAAUGCGGAAUUCCAGGUGUAGCGGUGAAAUGCGUAGAUAUCUGGAGGAACACCGGUGGCGAAGGCGGCUCACUGGCCCGAUACUGACGCUGAGGCACGAAAGCGUGGGGAGCAAACAGG